rnacentral:rRNA from 1 species
GAUGAACGCUAGCGGGAGGCUUAACACAUGCAAGUCGAGCGGGAUUAGCAGCAAUGCUAUGAGAGCGGCGGACGGGUGCGUAACGCGUAUGCAACCUGCCUUAUACAGGGGAAUAGCCCAUGGAAACGUGGAUUAAAGUCCCAUAGGAUCACGAGAUCGCAUGGUUUAGUGAUUAAAACUGAGGUGGUAUAAGAUGGGCAUGCGUCUGAUUAGGUAGUUGGUGAGGUAACGGCUCACCAAGCCGACGAUCAGUAGGGGUUCUGAGAGGAUUACCCCCCACACUGGUACUGAGACACGGACCAGACUCCUACGGGUGGCAG